rnacentral:rRNA from 1 species
AUGCAGAUCUUCGUGAAGACGCUGACGGGGAAGACCAUCACCCUCGAGGUGGAGAGCAGCGACACCAUCGACGCCGUCAAGGCAAAGAUCCAGGACAAGGAAGGCAUCCCUCCGGACCAGCAGCGCCUCAUCUUCACGGGGAAGCAGCUGGACGACGGCCGCACCCUCGCCGACUACAACAUCCAGAAGGAGUCCACGCUCCACCUUGUGCUUCGCCUCCGCGGCGGCGGCUGCAUGAUCGAGCCCAACCUCAAGGCCCUCGCUCAGAAGUACAACCAGGGCAAGCUCAUCUGCCGCAAGUGCUAUUCACGCCUGCCUCCCAGGGCCAAGAGCUGCCGCAAGAAGAAGUGUGGCCACAGCAACCAGGUGUGA